GUUACAGACGGAAAAUCCGUCUGUAAUUAAAUAGACAAAAACGCUGCGUUUUAUUAAAUUAUUACAGACGAAAAAUUUGUCUGUAAUUUAAAAUUUUCCGUCGGAAAUAUUGAGUUUACCCUAAUUUUAUCCCCAUCCUAUCGAGUUCCAUUCACACUCCACACAAAUCAAAUGAGCUUGUUCCUCUCUCUGUCACCGAGUUGCUUCUUCUCUCCGUCGCACCAGCUUCUUCCACCGCUGUCGCUGCCGCUUGCGUUGUAGGAUCUCUCUUUGUCAUCCCUUGCGUCGCACGGGCUCCCUCCGCUGCCGCUCUCGUUGUGUCUGCAGCGAUUCGUGAAACUUAGCUCAACUCGGUGGUUAUUGUUGAAUGGUGAAGCUGGAAGCGAAACUCAGAAUGAUAGUUAGUUGACUCUGUUGGUAACUUCUUCUCCGGCAAAGACCAACUUCCCUGGUGUGACCCUGACAUCGUCGCUAUUCAUGGAGGAUCACAACACAGCUACCUUCCUUUCCAAAAAGCGUCAAAUGGAAAAGGAUAUGAAGAAAGGUAUUAAGAAGGUCCGGGCAUCAGAACGUAAUGUUUUUAACAAUGAAGAACAGCGCAGAUAUGUGUCAUCCUACAUGUGAAUUUUGUUAUCGGCAUUGUAAAUUGAUUCUAUUUGUCUAAGCUUUUUCUCUGAACUUACACUGCACCUGGUUUUAUUUGAUUCAUGAAGCGGAAAAUUUUACUCUUAUUGUUUUAAAUUUGUUAUGCAUAGGAUUUUCUCAAUCUGUUGGAGUUGGUGCAUUUUCUGAAAAUGGACCAUUUAGGCCAAAAGGAGAGGCCUUGGUGAGGAACCAAUUCAGCUGGAACAGAGAAGCAAAUAUUUUGUACUUGGAAACACCAAUUGGAGUUGGAUUCUCUUAUUCAAAAGAUACUUCCUCUUAUGUGGGUGUAAAUGACAAGAUCACAGGCA